rnacentral:misc_RNA from 1 species
CGGCGAGGGCGCCUUCCGAUUCGGAAGAUUUCACUGGUGACGUAGAUAAUUAACUUUUUCGAACGUUGCUGGCUGGAAUCGGAUGGAUUAGACAUGGCCAAGACUUCAGACCGAAUCAUUUCUCGAAUGAAAAUUAAUCAGUAUCCUCGGAUACUUUUGAAUUAGAUCUCAAAUGAAGCAAGAUUACCCGCUGAACUUAA